AGUGCUGCUGUUAUCUAGCUCACUUUAAAUAUAUAAGUUCUAUCUUAUUAUAUUGGAUUGACUUGGUGUAAUAUUUAACUUUUGUUUCACCAAGGAAAGCUGCAAUGCUUGCCAAUGUUUUCAAGUCAGGACUCCUAAACAAAUGUUUUUUAAUUGUAUUUUAAGAGUCUCAAAUUCAGGU
rnacentral:misc_RNA from 1 species